rnacentral:lncRNA from 1 species
GGAAGACUCCAGCAGAGAGCAACUGGGACCUUGGAACUCGCUCGAUGCAAACGAGGCAGUAGUCCUGAAUGUACCAGUGAUAAGUCCUCUUUAGCAACUUGAGUAAAAGGAAAGGCAUGCGAGAUGGACCAGAGCGAUACUUGGACAUUCCGACAAACUUGCAUUGGGCUAAUGUGAGCCCCCUCAUAGAUCCAGAGAUUUCUGGCUUUCCAUAUUUCCCAACAAAUAAUGGCUGGUAAGAUUAUGUAUAGUUACCCCAUAGCCGAGUUUGAUGCGUAAGACCACCAAUGCUGCAGCCUCAGCAGAAUACCCGUUAAGGGUCAAACCGGGAGGUGAAGAGACCGAGUAAAAAAGUCCCAAACUAUCAUAGCAAAGGAACAAGCCGAUAGCACAUGAUCCCGGGAUUCCUCAUUUGGCAAAAUUGACAUUUUGAAGAAAGUUGAUACCCAAAGGAGUUCAAAGUUUCUGGGAAUUGCAAAAACUCAUUCAACAAUUUCCACAUGAAGAUGGAGAUUUGGCAAGAAUACGAUGGUCCCAAAUUAAUUUUCUGGACCCUAAACAUGAGCGCUUAGGCUAUAUUAGUUGUACCACUGAGGAGAUCGAGAACUGUCCAGAUGGUGUAAGAGUCCAGACCCACUUCCCUCCCUGGUCAUC